AGUGGCGAACGGGUGAGUAACACGUAGGUGACCUGCCCCAAGGUGGGGAAUAACUAUGGGAAACCAUGGCUAAUACCCCAGAUGUUUAAGUUUUUAGAGUACUUAAACUAAAGUUUCGAUGCCUUGGGAGGGGCCUGCGGGCUAUCAGCUUGUUGGUGAGGUAAAAGCUCACCAAGGCUAAGACGGCUAGGGGGCGUGAGAGCGCGAUCCCCCACAAUGGAACUGAGACACGGUCCAUACUCCUACGGGAGGCAGCAGUGAGGAAUAUUGCGCAAUGGGGGCAACCCUGACGCAGCAACGCCGCGUGGACGAUGAAGGCCUUCGGGUUGUAAAGUCCUUUUUUUGAGGGAAGAUAAUGACGGUACCUCAAGAAUAAGUCCCGGCUAACUACGUGCCAGCAGCCGCGGUAAAACGUAGGGGGCGAGCGUUAUCCGGAUUUAUUGGGCGUAAAGCGCGCGUAGGCGGUAUUAUAAGUUGGAUGUGAAAGCUCUUGGCUUAACUGAGAGAGGCCGUUCAAUACUGUAGUACUUGAGGUUGGAAGAGGAGAGUGGAAUUCCCGGUGUAGUGGUGGAAUGCGUAGAUAUCGGGAGGAACACCAGUGGCGAAAGCGACUCUCUGGUCCAUACCUGACGCUGAGGUGCGAAAGCGUGGGGAGCGAACGGGAUUAGAUACCCC
rnacentral:rRNA from 1 species